GCGAUGUCAAACAGCAUUGGUCAAGAAGUGACGUGAGUCAUGCGUUUGCAGGUGCUGACAGUCCUUUGAGCGUCAAGGAACACGUGGAACAGGAAGGCACACGAGAGAUGGUAAAUCUGAUGCAAGCAUCCCCGAGAAGUCAGCACAGAGGACGCGGAUACGUGAUUGGUCAGAUGCGUGUCAGCAGACAUCAACAACCGCAUCCUAUUGGUCAGAAGGGUUGCUGAAGAAUGGCUGUAACCGGUCCAAUACCUCACCUGUACCUUCAGUGGACAUAAUGCCUCGAGCCAGGAUGAGUCUGAGCAGAACUCUGGACUGCAUGUGCGUCCUCUCUCCAUCUCUCUCCCUCUGUAAGACCAUAGAACUUCUGCUAAGCCAUUACACAGGUGACAAACUUUCACACCAAAACCCCCAGGGUCCAGUUCAUUGCUAGAGCUGAUAUCUCUAUGAUCUCACCUAUUUUGCGUCUUUUGCUACAUUUCACAGAAUUUGUCUAAUUAUGUUGAAGCUUAAGCUGUGCAAAAUAAAGACUGUCAUAGAAAAAGAUUGAUAAAAUAUUGUUUUAUUACACUCUACACAGUAAUCAGUCAAAUAAUUGUAUAGAUGUACUGAAUUUGCCUAAAACACUGACUACUGCAAAAAAAAAAAAAAAAAAGUUGUCUUUUAAAUUAUAUUUGAAUGUCCUAAAUUAGCAUUAUAUGCUAAUUUUCAUAGAGCAUAUUGGUAAUGCAUUAACAAUCCUAAGUGCUCUCAUUCUAUGGAGAGGACCGAAAAAUGUGUUUCAUAUCAAAACAGGUGAUCUGCAUUCUCUGAAGGACUCUUAUGCCUGGAUGCACAUGUUUUCUACUUUCAUAGAACCUUCUCCCAAAGUGUAAUCCUUUUUAAAUUGCCUGUGGCCACCAAAUAUAGCGGCAAAAGUGUGUCACAUUUCUAUAUUUCUUACAGAUCUUCGGGGGCUUAUGGAGAUAAAAAGGGAGACAGCAUAGACUGUAGGUGAGGGACUGACUACAUGUAAUUGAGUCCAAGCUCACACUGCCAAAAUAUGUGGAGGCAUGCAUGGAUUCCUCUAGAUUAGCAAUAUGGGCUUGUUUCCGUGGUAUUAGCCAAGUAUCUUAGCAACAGGAUCACAGCAACCUCACACAUCGUGAUGUGCAGCCGCAUGUAAUAACCUGAACAUAAUCUUUUUUCUCCUGCUUCCUUUUCACCUCCUCCCGUGCUUUCUUUGAAUUUCGCUGGUGAUAUUACCGAUACAUAUGUUCGGUUUGAGAUCUUUAUUUAAUAAGAUGAAACGAUGCAGUGGAGAUUUGCUCUGUGUCAUGAGUGGACAGGGCAGAAUGCCUCAGGAGCUUAUAGGAGCUCCAUGUCUUUUGUCUCAGAUUGACAGGAGUCGUGCUUACCAUGCUUAAGCUCGGCUGCUUAGUGUGUAUCUUUGAACUG